GAAGCUUUCUAUUCUUCUUUAGACAUAAAAAUUCAGUUCAAUCUACUCGUUAUAGGAGCUUGGGUUGCAAAAGUUCCAAUUAUCACUUGGUCUUGUUUCAUGCAGAAGCUAUAACGUCUGUGUUUGUUCAAUGUAAAUUUCUCACACGAGUUAUGUCAUGAUCAUCCAGGAUGAGAAAUGUUGAAGCUGCAGUUGAAGUAGGACUCAACGGUCUUCAAUUCAAGAAUGCAGAUUUGUUGCGCAAGGACUUGUCUCUCCUUGGUGUCAAUAUUUCAACAAAUGAAAAUCCAGAUUUGGCCGAAUGUUCGAUAUAGGAUAUAUGCCAAUUCAUCAAUUAUAUGUUUGGAUGAUUUUUAUUGACCUUUUGUCUUCAGGAAUCAGAAUUCUCAAAGCAACAGAUUUUAGCCCUGUAUUAUUACAGUCUCUACAUGAAAAACCACACAUUCUUUUCUCUAUGGAGUGAAAAGAGAGCAUUAUACUGUAACCAUAAUGUAUAACCACAGAUGCUUUCUGUCAAAAACUUACACACCCAUUCAGACCAAAUGAAAAACCACAUUCUUUUCUCUAUAUGAGUGAAAGGAGAGCAUUAUACUGUAGCCAUAAUGUAUAACCACAGAUGUUUUCUGUCAAUAAUUCACACCCAUUUAGACCAACCUAAUGAACACGUGACAUGUAUUUUUGAAGUUUA
rnacentral:lncRNA from 1 species